rnacentral:lncRNA from 1 species
GCCUAUUCAGGCCCGGUACUAUCAUGGCAAUUGAGUAAUUUUCACAAUCUGGCAUUAAAGCAAUAUGUACACAGAGAAUACAAUAUUUCAUUACACAGGAAUUGUUCAACACAUAGGAGCACAUCUGGUACUGUCCUAACAAUGUCUACAUAAUUUGCCUUAUCUCACUACUACAUAACAUUGUUGAACACGUAGGAGCACAUCUGGUACUGGCCUAACAAUGUCUUCAUUGCUCGAACUUGCCUUCCUACAAGAACAGAACAUUACAUGAAUAGAUCAAUCGAGAAGGAAACAGUAAAACAGGCUGAAAGCAUCACACAUACAAAUAAUAACAGCAUACAUUAAUGUAUAAAAUAAUAAAAAAUAUCUAUAACCAAGGCUAUUUCUAGCCAACCCGUGUGCAUGAAUCAUAAUAGAUCAAGCAAAAGACGUAUAAUCAUCAGCAAACAGCAAAUAUUAGUGAAAGGGGACAAUUUCUAGUACUCAUCAUUUUUGCAAAGUGAGCAAGAACGAUGAUAUUUUCCUACACAUACUUUCUGAUUUUUCCUUAGUCCUAUAGUGAUCUGCUCACUCCAAUUCUAUCUACUCAACCCAUUCACAUGCAACAUGGAUAAUCAACUAGCCUCAUCAUUUGAAGAAUCUAGUCAAAUAAGGAAUUAGAAUGCAACAUGGAUAACUAUGCCCUAUGAAACAGUUCACGUAUCAAGAACCAUCAAAGUAAAUAAGGAACUGGUAUAGAACACCAACUCGAUCACCUUCACAACAAUGAAAUCAUGGAUAAUUCUUAUAUUUAAUUGAAGUUCUCUAAGCUUCUUCCCCCAUUGAAAGCAGUCCACAAAAUAAUUGAGAAGAAGGUCAGUGCCAAAAUUCAAACCAUAUAAUUUCUUGCUAAUCUCAUAUACUGUUAAAGAUGUAUUUUGUUGUAAGAUUUUAGCGCUAGUACACAAGACAUAAAAAGGUACCAAAAAUCCUUAGUGAUCUGAAGCAGCAAACAAAAUUUAAACACAGGCAAUGCAUGCCAUAGUAAUAGCAGCACAAACAGAGAAAUGCAAAAGGCACCUCAUACUAGUAUGGUGAUCUUCGUCGCAAAUUUUAAGCUCUGUUUCAUGUAGAUAAUUUAUUUGGUUUCAGUAAACAACAGGAUGUAGUAUAUAUGAAGGGUUAUUGGUUGCAUAACACCUGAACUAAUCCUCCAUCUAGGGGGGAUUGCAACAGGUUCCUAUAGUACACUAGAUAGGCCAACAUUUUAGACUACUAGUACCUAGAAAUCAUAUGCAACUCUGUUUUUUUCUCUAGCCCAGCUAGAAGAUCAUAAGAGAAAUAGUAAGUAUCUAGUGCGUCGUGGUGCCUUCAUCUGGAGUCACAGGUCGAGUUGUGGGCUGCUGCUUUGCUUCUCCAUAUAGCACACCAGGUUCUCCUAAGAUAGCAAACUGAAAACACAAAACAUGAUUAGGGAGUUGGUACAAAAAGGAAUUCAUGCAUGAAUGGCAUGUACAACUAAAAAAAUCAGGCAUCACAUAUUAUUAGAAUUGCAUAUUAGAUGGCUGCAAGGCAAGUGUUUCUUCAUAAAAAUUACUAGAAAUACGUAGCCCCUAACUAUGCUGUAAGGAUGGUUCUUUUAAAAAAAGAAUCUAUAAGGAGCUUGACUGGAGCGGCUGACUCUAAUUGUUAUGAUUUGUUGCUUCUGAAUCACCACAGUGCUCAAAAGGGAAUCAUAAUAGUAGAUGAUAGUUCAACUUCUGGUUAUGAUGUUUCUUGUCCAUUUAGUUAACUUGCACAAAUAAAUUCGAACAUGUUGCUGGAUGGCUUGCAGCUUAUAAAAAAAGCACUUGAAGCAACAAUUAAAUCACCGUAUAUAAUUGAAGGG